UGUUUCCUUUCUGUUCAGUACCCAACCUCCAGAUCGUGACGGAGGCAAGGUUUGAAUUGUUGAAAUGGGUUUCUACCCAUUUAAGUGGCUUUGUCCCUUGAAUUUAAGUUUCUUCUCUUCCUCUUCAGCACCCUUCCCACUGCCUCAUCUCCAAUCCUCAGUUGCAGGGCUUCAACUAUGGAGGCUCACUAAGACCCAGAUUCUCUUUCACCACUAAAGACACAGACAAAGGCAUUCGCAUUCAACCCAUUAAAGCCAAAGCAGCAACCACCGAGGCCUCUCCGUUUCCUCUGCUUCAGUCUCCCCGAGCUAAAGACUCUCCCUCUGAGUUGGAGCCAGCAGAUCCUGAUUUCUACAAGAUAGGGUUUGUUAGAAGUAUGAGAGCUUAUGGAAUUGAAUUUAAAGAAGGCCCAGAUGGGUUUGGAGUUUAUGCUUCCAAGGAUGUUGAACCACUUCGCCGUGCUAGGGUGAUAAUGGAAAUACCACUAGAACUGAUGUUAACUAUAAGCCAAAAGCUCCCAUGGAUGUUUUUCCCAGAUAUAGUACCGGUGGGUCACCCAAUAUUUGAUAUCAUCAAUUCAACAAGAAGAGAAGCUACGCUCAGCUUCAUUU